UACGUAGGUGGCAAGCGUUGUCCGGAAUUAUUGGGCGUAAAGCGCUCGCAGGUGGUUCGUCGCGUCGUGCGUGAAAGACCCCGGCUCAACUGGGGAGGGUCGUGCGAUACGGGCGAACUGGAGGCCAGUAGGGGGAUGCGGAAUUCCGGGUGUAGUGGUGGAAUGCGUAGAGAUCCGGAGGAACACCAGCGGCGAAGGCGGCAUCCUGGACUGGUCCUGACACUCAGGAGCGAAAGCGUGGGGAGCGAGUCCGG
rnacentral:rRNA from 1 species